CCGGCACGGGUGAGUAACGCGUAUGCAACUUGCUAUCAGGAGGGAGUAACCCGGCGAAAGUCGGACUAAUACCGCAUGAAGCAGGGGCCCCGCAUGGGGAUAUUUGCUAAAGAUUCAUCGCUGAUAGAUAGGCAUGCGUUCCAUUAGGCAGUUGGCGGGGUAACGGCCCACCAAACCGACGAUGGAUAGGGGUUCUGAGAGGAAGGUCCCCCACAUUGGUACUGAGACACGGACCAA
rnacentral:rRNA from 1 species